UAUUUUAUUAAUUCUGUUUCUUUAAUGAUACCUCUUACUCAAUAAAUAAAACUUUUAUUUUCAGUAAACUUGUUUUCAUUGUUUCUUGACAGCCGUUGCCAGCUAAGGGGAAAGGCACAAUAAGAAUUAUUUCAACAAAAUAUUUGUAUCAGAGUGUAAUAGUGCAUCUGGUCAACUUAAUUUUAUGGUGAUGAUUAAUCAAUGUUCAACAAUGACUGAUAGUAUACACAUAUAUUAAUGGGUAAUCAACUUGACCUUAAGCAAUUAUUUUACUUGGAUUCCUCAGCAAAAUUUGCCUAAAACUUAGCUAAAUUUUGUGAUCUGUUAAAGAAGAU
rnacentral:lncRNA from 1 species